rnacentral:rRNA from 1 species
GACGAACGCUGGCGGCGUGCCUAAUACAUGCGAGUUGAGCGCUGAAGGUUGGUACUUGUACCAACUGGAUGAGCAGCGAACGGGUGAGUAACGCGUGGGGAAUCUGCCUUUGAGCGGGGGACAACAUUUGGAAACGAAUGCUAAUACCGCAUAAAAACUUUAAACACAAGUUUUAAGUUUGAAAGAUGCAAUUGCAUCGCUCAAAGAUGAUCCCGCGUUGUAUUAGCUAGUUGGUGAGGUAAAGGCUCACCAAGGCGAUGAUACAUAGCCGACCUGAGAGGGUGAUCGGCCACAUUGGGACUGAGACACGGCCCAAACUCCUACGGGAGGCAGCAGUAGGGAAUCUUCGGCAAUGGACGAAAGUCUGACCGAGCAACGCCGCGUGAGUGAAGAAGGUUUUCGGAUCGUAAAACUCUGUUGGUAGAGAAGAACGUUGGUGAGAGUGGAAAGCUCAUCAAGUGACGGUAACUACCCAGAAAGGGACGGCUAACUACGUG